rnacentral:lncRNA from 1 species
UCUUCCAACAGUAUUUCACAAUGAACAAGAACCAAAUUUAUCUAUCAUACUAAAGUAUUUCAGAAAUGAAUAUUGAAAACAGCCUGUAAGUUUUCAUCCAAUAUUUAAAACCACCUCCUGAACUAAAAUUGGUCUUCAAAAAUCAUGGCGUAUUAACAUUUUCCAAACAUGCCCUGCUGACUAGAAGGUCCUGUUAUUCUUUCUUUUGAACUUCCCAGUAAGUUUCCUUGUUCCCUAUUCCUAGGAUUUAAAGUGCAAAGGUACUUUUUAUGAGCUAUUAGGACAAGUAUUCUUCAUUGAAAAUAAACUUUUGCAGAAAACAAAUCCUGUGCUUGACUAACAGCAAAGACAUGUUAAGAAAUUUCUGAGCUCCAAACCAUGAGGAAUCAGAAUCACAACUUUCAGAGUAAUAACUCACAUUUUUUCUAAAGCAUAGGAAGCUAAUUUUGUAUAAUGAACAAAUGUGGUUGUGCCAAAAUAGGUUUUGCCACAGUUAAUUUCCACUUUCUCUUCUUAAAAAUAAGGUAUAGUCCAAGCUAAUGUAGAUAAGGAAAGGCACGCACGAUACCAACAAACUGCAAAACAAAGUAUAGCCCCAAAGCCAUGCACUUUUUAGAGUCAUGAGUAGGGACAAUGAAAAAAUUAAGGUGCAAAAUAGAUGUGAACUUCCACAAUCUUUCAAUGGACUGUCUUAAUAGUUUAAUUUAAAAGCAUAGGAUUUUUCAUAUAUCUUCAGAUAGUCAAUUAGAGAGUUUUUUUUCUUCUUUAAAUGGAAGAAUUUCUUAAAUGGAAGCACAAGAUCAUACCUACACAGCUGGUGAGCCUCAAAAUAGAAUAAUGUCUACUUUAUUAAUAAAGUUUCCAGUCAGGCAGAAUCAAGAGUAAUCUUCAUAUAUGCAUAAGGAUAUUAUCAUUAUAACAAUAUUUUUAGUAGAAAAGUCUAUAAACAAAUGUUCUCCCAAAGGGACAUCCAUAUAAUGGAAUCCUGGAGACAUUAAAAUAAUGUUAGAGCUGGAAGGUGG